rnacentral:tRNA from 1 species
AUUGAACAUAACAUUGGAUUUCCUUUAUGAUAAAGGUAUUACUUUGAACCAAAGCAUUCUAUUUG